rnacentral:lncRNA from 1 species
CUCCGCGCCGCCGUCUUCGUUGCUCUUGGGUGGCCGCGGCGCCCGCUCCCUCUGAAUUCGCCGGGCAGGGAUACAGCCGCCCGGGGCCUCUUGCUCGUGCUUGGUUUUCCGGACCUUGCUUCCUAAAGGGUCUUUAGGGGUUCCCGGACUCCUCCGCCUGGGAGCCUCUAUCCGCCUGGGAGCCUCUAUGCGCCCCGCAAAGCCCCCGGCAGAGCCGAGGGGAGGCUUCAUUGGCGACCUGGUGGGGCCUCGCGGCCCUGCUCCCUGACGUCAGCGCCGCCGCGGUGAUUUAACAGCUUUUGUUUUGGGCAGAAGAACCUAUGGGCACAAAAAGCAGGAACGAGUAGCGGUGGCUGAAGAACGAGCAGGAGCUUGAAUUUCAGUUUUCUUAUGAGGAAUUUUCCAGAAAAGAUAUCUUCACUGUGAAAUAACUAAAUAAAUGCCCACUCAGUACAGUCACUGUCUCCCUUUUGGAACUUGAUGGCACCUUAAGCCCAGGUUUGCCUCCACUCUAGAAACUCAUCAGAGUGAUGCCCUUCUCAAAUGGGGGAGGUCCCAAAGCGGAUAUCCUGGCAGUGUGAAAGGCCGGCUAAAGCUUUCCCUGCACUCCAAACACAGAGCUGAGACUUCCACCUAAUGUAGAAAGCUAGCACGAGCCGGCGCUGACAGAUGGAAGACUUGAGAUGUUACAAGAUUAUAUAUGGAAACACAAAAGGAGUGGAGUUGCUGGGUCAUAUGGCAAUUCAUUUGAGGAACUGAGAAGCUUAUUCCAUGGAGGCUGAACUGUUUUAUAUUCCCACCAGCAACGUGUAAGGUUCCAGUUUAUCUACAUCAUCACCAACACUUGCUAUUUUCCAUUUCAUUAAUGAUAGCCAUCCUAGUGGAUUUGAAGUGGUACCUUAUUAUCGUGGUUUUGAUUGCAUUCUCUAUUGACUAAUGAUAUCGAGCAUCUUUUCAUGUAUUUUUUGGUCAUUUGGUCAUUUUUCUUUUUUAAUUUUAAAAUUUUGAGACAGGCUCUCACUAUGUUGCCCAGGUGGUCUCAAACUCCUGGGUUCCAGCGAUGCUCAUGCCUCAGUCUCCCAAAGGGGUGGGAUUACAGGUGUGAGCCACUUUGCCCAGCCCAUUUGUAUAUCUCCUUUGGAGAAUAUCUAGGUUCUUUUGAAGGUAGCUGCAUAUAAACUAGCCAAAUUAACAGACUGUGGUUUUUAGAUGGCUUUCCAUAUCUACAAGAACUAUUUAGUUCUCAAAACUGGGAAGAAAUGUUUCAGAGGCAUCAUUAAUUCAUAAUCUAAAAAUUUAUCUUGGGUUUCCUUUUUUCCCCCAGAUUCUGUAUCCUCCAUAGUCCUAUUCAUGACAUGGGUCGUUCAUCUCUGUAUUCUAAACCCUCAAUGAACUGUAGACAGUAAUAAAUAUUUAUUGGAUGAA